rnacentral:rRNA from 1 species
AGAGUUUGAUCAUGGCUCAGGAUAAACGCUGGCGGCGCACAUAAGACAUGCAAGUCGAACGGACUUAAUCGAUUCUUUUAGAUUCGAAGCGGUUAGUGGCGGACUGGUGAGUAACACGUAAGCAACCUGCCUAUUAGAGGGGAAUAACAGUGAGAAAUCACUGCUAAAACCGCAUAUGCCGUGAACAUCGCAUGAUGAAAACGGGAAAAGAGCAAUCUGCUAAUAGAUGGGCUUGCGUCUGAUUAGCUAGUUGGUGUGGUAAAGGCAUACCAAGGCAACGAUCAGUAGCCGCGG